GACGAACGCUGGCGGCGUGCUUAACACAUGCAAGUCGAACGGAAAGGCCCUGCUUUUGUGGGGUGCUCGAGUGGCGAACGGGUGAGUAACACGUGAGUAACCUGCCCUUGACUUUGGGAUAACUUCAGGAAACUGGGGCUAAUAUCGGAUAGGAGCUCCUGCUGCAUGGUGGGGGUUGGAAAGUUUCGGCGGUUGGGGAUGGACUCGCGGCUUAUGGGCUUGAUGGUGGGGUAGUGGCUGACCAAGGCUUUGAGGGAUAGCCGGCCUGAGAGGGGGACCGGCCACAUGAGGCCUGAGAGACGCACCAGACUCGAACGGGAGGCAACAGGGGGAAGUAUUGCACAGUGGGCGGAAGCCUGAUGCAGCAGCGCCGGGUGCGUGAUGACGUCUUUCGGGGGGUAAACCGAUUUCGCCUGUGACGAAGAGUGAGUGACGGUAAUGAGUAAGGAAGCACCGGCUAACUACGUG
rnacentral:rRNA from 1 species